rnacentral:snRNA from 1 species
UGCUUUGCGCAGUGGCAGUAUCCCAGCCAAUGAGGUUUAUCCGAGGCACGAUUAUUGCUGAGAAUCAACAUGGCAACAAAAUAAAGCGUGGCAGAAAACAGCAGUUGUUAGGAAUCCUGGUUCCCUCAGAAGAGA